GGGCUCGUAGUUCAGUGGUAGAACGUUCGCUUAGCAUCCUUCCAAGGUUGCUUCUAAUGUGCGAGAGGUCCGGGGUUCGAUUCCCCGUGAGUCCA